CCUUUGCGUUUGGCUGGGCGGUACUUCCGGUGCGAACGCGCGCCUUUCUCCUCGUCCCACCGAAUUGUUGCAGCUGCGCCUGUUUAAACUAGGAUGGUCCGCAAUUUACGCCUGAGAUUCCUGUUCACAUAGUCUGCCAAGGUCUUUGAGUCUUUGAGCAGAAAAGGGAAUCUUCAGCCGGGCGUGGUGGCGCACGCCUAUAAUCCCAGCACUUGGGAGGCUGAGGCAGGAGAAUCACCAUGAGUUUAAGGCCAGCCUGGGCUACAUAGUGAGUUCAAGGCCAACCUGGACUACACAGCGAGACCCUGUCACAAACCACCUUCCCCUCCAAAGAUAGAACAGGGCACCUUCUCUACACGAAGACCUGAACGUUUUAGAAUCAGACUCCAGAGAGAUGAGCAGAAACAACCAAAAGCAGAUGAGUGGGAAGACGUUUGCGCUUAAGGCUUCCUGGCUGCUUUCCCCUUCUCAACGACCUGGACAGCCCGCAGCAAACCAUCACGCAAG